rnacentral:misc_RNA from 1 species
AACGCAACUUGCGCCCUAUUAGGGCAUGUCUGUUUGAGUACCGCAAUCUUUCUGCAGCAAUGCGAAUUGAUCAUGGCGUCGGGCCUUGAUUUAAAGUUAGAAUGCUUGUUCAAGCCUUGAGGUUGGAACUAUGUGCCAGAGACGCAAGUCUUCUCAUAGCCCAUCCUAGGAUGCUGGAACCUAUAUUCUCUUUAUUUUGGUCUCAAAUCAGGCAAGACUACCCGCUGAACUUAA